ACAACAUCUCAUUUGUACCUUUCAGGCAUGUUCUUGUUCAACCAAUAUUCAUAUCAAGUUCUUCAACACAAUUUGCCUUCUACUGCUGUUCUGCUGUGUACAAGGCUGCACACAUUUGCAUUUGUUUUCUUGCAUCACUAAUUUUGAAUCAGCACAAUUCUGCAUAAAGUUCUUUAGCAAUCUAUGACAAAUUUAUACUGUUGGAGCACCUGUAACUAUUUACUGGAUUUUAGUAGUUAAAGGAUUAGCAAUUCUCACUGUAAAUCAGCAGGAUGGCCAUAGCUAGCUCAGUAAGAGUCUAACAGCAAAAUAAUUGUGCUAAGAACAAAUGACAUCACAGUCGUUUCAUUACUUUUACUCCCAAUGUAACUUGUGGAAUCCUAUGAAAAUCUACUUGCAUGCUCAGAGGAGCGAAAUAAUCUAGGUCAGCAAUAAAAGAGUUUGCUGAAACAAAGCCUGUUAUUGCACUGUCUGCAAACACAAGUUUGCGUAUGUCUAUUUGUUACCUGAGCUACUACAAGGAUCCCAGUAUUAAAGCAUAAAAAAAUAUUUAGGUCACUCAGCUAAUCUCUGGGAGUCUUUAUUUGCAAAAACAUGACCUUAAACAUAUGCAAACCAGAUGAGACUUCAGUUGCACUAACUGAAAACAUCUGGUUAAGUGACAACUGCAGAGAUCUAAGAGAUUAUAGAAACAUUGAAAUCACAUUUUUAUCCCUCUAAGUUGACAUGCAGUAAUGGUUCCACACUGGUCACUAAAGCAAAGCAUUCUCUUCGUCAGUUUAGAAGAAAUGUCUCUGUAGCACUUUGUACCAUAAUAAACAGGCUACAUAUGUAGCAACCUUUAUAAAGUUUAAAAGAUGAUUAACAAUAUAGUUCAGAAGCUUACUGUUCAGACUAAGUUUCUGGGAGAGAUUUUCAUGCCCCAAAUACGCAGCAGAUAGCACACGACCAGGAUGUGACGCUUGUCUGUUUUCAGUUGUACCCGUGGCAGAUACGACACUUGGUUUUGAAAUGUAGUGUAUUUCUAGAUAGGAUUUAAGUCUUUCUAGUACAACUAAGUGCCAUGGGCAGCUCAGAAGUUGUCUGAACAGCACGUGUAUGUUCACAGACCUGUGAACAGACGAAUCAAGAACGUGAGAUAGAGAUUGUCUAUGCAGUCUGAUCCCUAUCAUUUAAGGGAUUCUUUAAAAAAAAAA